UAUCAACAGGGUGGUUAUGUUAGCCUGCCGCAUACAUUUCCUGACAUUAACUACUACUACUACUACGACUUACUUCAUUGUUUCUCCUAUUUGCUGUGGGCUUGUUUGGUGAUGAGUGUGAUUGCAGUCCUGUCUGUGAAUAUGGUGACAGCCAACAUGUUACUGAGUGUCUUCUUUCUUUCAGGUGCUUUGGCUGAUUGUCCUAAGACAGCAAACCUCUUCAUCACUGCA